UAAACUAGGAUUAGAUACCCUAUUAUUUAAAAUAAAUUAAAAUUUGUUUGAGUAGUAUUAGUUAUGUUCUUGAAACUUAAAAAAUUUGGCGGUAUUUUAGUCUAUUCAGAGGAACUUGUUUUAUAAUCGAUAAUCCACGUUGUACCUUACUUAAGUUUGUUAUUCAAUUUAUAUACCGUUGUUAUUAGAAUAUUUUAAAAGAAUAAUAAUUUUCUAUAAUUUAUAUUAAAAUUAAUAUCAAAUCAAGGUGUAGUUUAUAUUUAAGUAAAAAUGAGUUACAAUAAAAUAUAUUUAUGUGAAUUUAAAUAUGAAAAAUUUAAUGAAAUUGGAUUUGAAAGUAAAUUUAUAAAGAUUAAUAAUUUGAUUUUAGCUCUAAAAUAUGUACACAUCGCCCGUCGCUCUUA
rnacentral:rRNA from 1 species